rnacentral:tRNA from 1 species
AUUCCUGUAGCUAAAUAAAGUGAGUGACUCUUAAUCCCUCGAUGCAGACCUCUGUCGGGAAUA